CUGAUCUGAUCUGCUUUUAUACACAGGCCCAGGCUACACUACACACUGAUCUGAUCUGCUUUUAUACACAGGCCCAGCUACACUACACACUGAUCUGAUCUGCUUUUAUACACAGGCCCAGGCUACACUACACACUGAUCUGAUCUGCUUUUAUACACAGGCCAAGGCUACACUACACACUGAUCUGAUCUGCUUUUAUACACAGGCCCAGGCUACACUACACACUGAUCUGAUCUGCUUUUAUACACAGGCCCAGGCUACACUACACACUGAUCUGAUCUGCUUUUAUACACAGGCCCAGGCUACACUACACACUGAUCUGAUCUGCUCUCAUACACAGAGCCUAGGCUACACUACACACUGAUCUUAUCUCAUACAC
rnacentral:lncRNA from 1 species